GUUUGUGUGCUCCCAUACUAAUACCGAUUUUACCUAUAACGUAUUUGUGAAUAAGCACGUAUUAACACUAGCUGAAAAUUUUAUUUAUGUCGCACGGCAAUGAUGAAUGAGAGAAUUGCGAUUAGUUUAAAUGGAGGGUUAAAUGUCAGCAGAAAAGAAGACGGUGGUGUCGCGUCAAGUGUUAAUUGUACCGUACUCGGUCGCAAUCGGUAGAUUAAAGAAAAGACGCGGAUACUGUCGAUACGGUACUUACUUUAUAUUGCGCAAUUAUUUUGUUAAUUUCAAUCUAAAAUUCUCGCACAUCUCCUUUAAUAGGAUUACGAGCAUGUUAAGAUUAGGCUUAUUAUUCAGCUCGCUCGUGUCGCAAGUGAUCCCGGGUGAAUAAGAGUUAUUUGUGUUUUUCAUAUGGCGUUAUACGGUUAUCAUUUCCAUUGUUUCCGAUGGGUUGCGAAAUCUGUAAAUUUUUUAACUCCAACUUUAGUAAGUAUAUUAAAGAAACGAGUUUCAUAAGAACGAGAAUGAGUUUCCGAAUGGAAGUGUGCGACAAAGUCUAAUGAAACGAACAAAUAUAACGCGUCACAGGAUCGUCACAAUAACAUCAAAGCAAAAAACAUUAUGUUUGGAAAUUAAAAUGAAUCUUCAAAAAAUUCAAUUAAACUGUAGUAAGGUUUUGACAUCAAUACAUUGUUGACCUUGAUUGACGUGAUGGAUCUUAAAUUACACAAUUUGAGCAAAUGUAAAUGUCAUUUAACAUCAUCAUCGAUUCCAAUACUACCUUCCUUUUGCAGCACUGUUCAUUUAAUUUUUCGAAGUAAUGGAUAAUGAAAUUAUUAGUACUCCAUCGGAGUUACGAGAAGUAGCGUAAAGUACAAUCAGUAAUUUGUUACCAAACAAGUCGAGGGAACGUUCGGCGAAUUGUGUACUACAAACGAAGUCGCUGAAUAAGUAAAACGAAAACGUCGUCUUCCUUGUGGUUAAUAUACCGAUUCUAUGUUACGCCCAUGCUUAAAUAUUCACAAAAAGUUGGACUAGUGUGCUAAAUUAAAAGCAUAUUUUAACGAUUGCCGAAGAGAUCCAGUCUUGAGCUACAGAACGUCAAUCAAUUAUUCUUUUCUAGAGAAGGCAGAUGUCAAAUACAUUUAGCACAGUAAGUUGUACUUUUCACCAGACGAGGGGCGUAGGUGCUGAAGGAGGAACUGCAGUAAUUAGUUUCAUAAUAGAAGUUGCUGUUGCUGGAUGUUUAGAUAAAGUAGAAAUAUGUGUAUCAUUAUUAGCUUCCACACUUAAUGGAAGCGUUAUGAUUAAAAAACUCCUGAGUAUGUCCAGAUUCUGUAUUCUCAUUGCUUGCUAGUCAGCAACAAAUAAUAAUACAGGGCGUGUGGUACUGCUUAGGUUGUGUACACAAGUUUGUACAUGCUAAUAAAGUAAUGUAUCUUAAGUAAGUUUAUCUUACCUUUAGUUUUUCGGCGAU